rnacentral:lncRNA from 1 species
CUAAAAACUAAAAAAAAAAAAAACCACCAAGAAAACCCACACAGAUGGACUACAAUGACAAAACCUUUAGUUUUUUCCCGUAUUAAUGCUGAUAUUGGACAUUAUUCUAAAUGCUAACACAAAUGUUGAUAAUGUGGCCCUCGGAAAAGACAAUUAAGUUUUUGUGGGCCCCGCUCUUUCAGAAGUUACUCAUCUCUGCUUUAUGGUAGUAUAUAAAGUAGAGCGUGAAUGUGUUUUCAAUAACACUUUCUUCAUCUUUAGCAAAGCCGACAACACCAACCAAAAAGAAUAGCAAAGCUGCAAAAGCAAAAAAGGUGAGUUCUCCUCUUGCUUUUAACCAACAUUUUUUUUUUUUUUCAAAACUCAUCCAACUGAACGCUUUGUUUGAUUAUUCAGGAUAUUUUGGCCAAACCAUCAAAAGAUAAAUCUGGAGGAAAAACCAACAAGACGAAGAAGUCGAAGGCUCAAUCCUCAGACAAAGCUGCGGCCGUUGAUGGAGAGGCUUCAGACUCUGACAGCAGUCUGGAUGUGGAGAAAUGGAAGAAUUUGCUCCUGACCAUGACGGAGGCAGACGUGGUCAAGAUGGAAAGCAUCAAUGCUUUAGACUCCUCUGCACCUCAGCCGGCCAAAAAAAGAGUGAGAAAGCCCCGAGCUAAACCACCUGCUAAAUCUGACGCUUCAAGUCAGAAAGAUCACCAAGCUGUCGAAAAACAGGAUGAGGAGAACGACGUGACAGGAACGACAUCGAAGAACAGCGCAGAGAAAAACACUACGCAGACAAACGCUCCAACUUCGUCUGGAAUCGAGAUCCAGGAUAGUAUAUCCAUGAGCUCCCCUUUACAGCAGGAAGAAAAGAAAGACGUUUUACAGAGUAGUGGAGAAACAGGUAAUGAGAUGCCAGAUGCCAAGAAAAAGAAGAGGAAGAAAAAAGAGGAGAAGAUGAGUGACACCAAAACAGAAGCAAAUGUAAAUGAAAUCUGUGGCGAUGGAGAAGGAAAUAAGAAGAAUGAAGUCACUGUCAAGACAAAGACCAAAGCAAAUAAAAAAGAGAAAUCUGAAGAAAGCACAUCAGGGGAACAAAGUGGAAAUCAUUUAGAGCCUGUGGUGAAAGAAAGAAAAUCAAAAAAGAAAAAGACGAAACCUGUAACAGAAGAAACUCCUGAAAAAGUUGAGGUAAAGAAAGCAAAAAAGAGCAAACGGAGUGUUAACGAUGAGGGGGAUCCACAGCCACUGGCCGACGAUGUGACAGAAAAGGCUGAGGAAAGAUCCAAUGACAAAGUAGAAGUUCAAAAAGAAAAGAAGAAAAAACAGAGAGUUGAUAAUGACGGCAUCGAGAAUCUACUGGGUGAAAAAAGUAGUGAUGAAAAAUCGGAAGUGAAAAAAGUGAAGAAGAAGAAGAAAAAGGCUUUGGCCACUGAGGGGAACCCAGAGCAAGUGGCUGAGGAAGUGAAAGAUAAUGCAGCAGAAAAAGUGGAAGAGAAUCAGGUUUCAGAGCAGAAUUUUCAGGCUGUAAAUACAAGCAAAGAUGAAGUGAGUGAGAAUAAGGAAGGUCUGGAGUGCGUGGUCACAGAAAGGAAAGCAAAGAAGAAAAAAAGGAAAUCAGGACAUGAAAGUUUUGCGGAAUUGGGAGAAGGAACACCAAGGAAAAAAAAGGACGCAACACAACCGAAUGAUUUAAUCUUAGAGGAAAUAACAGAAGCUAAUACUUCCAUAUUUAGUCCAUCCAAAGGAAAUCUGCAGGAAAACUGUGAGGAAGCGACGGAGCCAGUUCCUGAGGUCAAGAAAAAGAAAAAGAGGAAAACCAUGUGUGAUGAUGAACCAGAACCAUUGCCUCCUUCUGACCUGGAGACACCCAGUCCUCCAGCAGAGAAGAAGAAGAAGAAAAGCAAAUUAAAAUCUGUCGAGGUCCCACAGUCCCCUGCAGUUUCUGUUCAGGAGCUUCCAGCUGCACAAAGUGACUCAGGCAGCAGCAGAAAGAAAAAGAAAUCCUCUAAGAGCAAAGAGUCAUGAAGUCCGACCCUCAGUCUCUGAAGAACCCCAGGAUGGAAACAUCUCUUCUGUCCUGUGACUCUCCUCAUCAUCUUGUUAUGAUCAGGGUCUUUAAAUAUGAAAAAAAAAGAAAAGUUCAAUUUUGUACUUUAACAUGUUUUUGGACUUUUUACAUGCGCUUUGCUGCAGCAGUCUCGUUUACUGCUUGUGGUCAAUAAUGAUGGCAUUUUUAUAGGUGUUUGUUGUUGUUGUUUUUUAAUAUUUAGAAAAUAUUUGUAGCUGUCCCUGAUCAGGAAAUCCAACAGUCAUGUCAAGUUUCAGAAGAAUAGUUUGUCCUAAAACUGAUUUACAUUUUUUUACUUUUAGUCCUAUAUAUCUAUUUUUUUUUUUUUUUUUUUUUUUAAACAAUAAUUUAUCUUCUGCCAUCUUUUUUUUUAAAAAAAUAACUUUGACUUGGGGGG